AUGGCCGGUGCGGCUAAGGCGUCUUGGAUGGUGGCGAUGAGCAUCGGUGCCGUGGAGGCCCUCAAGGACCAGGCCGGACUCUGCCACUGGAACUAUGCACUAAGAGCAACUUCAAUGGGGCGACCCAUUUCGUCCGCCCGCGUCCGUUUGGAUCGGCGCGGACAAAAGCGACGGUCCAAAGCGCCGACCCAAACGGACGUGCGUCCAUUUUUCGUCCGCGGGCGACCCAUUUCCGGCUUAAUUUUGAGCCGGAUUUGCGUCGGUGCAGACACGAGAUGGACACGCGCGCCUACUCCUCUCCCUGAGCCUGCCCCCGCCGGUCAGUGGCAACCACCACCAUUUCCCCCUAUUAUCCCCCAAAACACUCCCGCCCGCGAGCGCUCCCGUCCCCCAACCAGCCAUGGAGGACGCCAUCGACCUCGACCUCGACGCCGCCGCCGGCCUCGCCUCCCUCGCCUCGUCCGACGCCGUCACCCCCUCCAGCAAAGGCAAGCCUUGUGCCCCGCGCAAGACCGCCACCGCGACCAAGACGAAGAAGGCGCUGACGCCCGAACAGCGGGCAGGGAGUCGGCCAAGAGGAAGGGCCGGAGGCACGCCGCGGACGCGAGGGAUAAGGCCGCCGUGCAGGCCGCCGCCGUCGCCACCGCGCAACAGGAGUUGACCAACGCCCGCGUCACGGCGGCAACGAGGGAGGCGCUCUACAUGCUAGAGGUAAACCCUAGCCAGCACAGCCUCGUCCAAGCCGUGGUCGCCGCGGCCAGCACUGGCUCGUCGGCGUUUCCUCGGAUGGUGCUGCCCGACUCACCCCGCACGUCGGCUUGCAACCCGGUCCCCGGCUUCCACGUCUACCCGCAGGCCUCUCGCCUCUUCGGGGAGUGCUCGCCCGACGUGAGCGUGGUCACGCCUUCCACGCCCGCGCCCGCGCCCAUCGACCUCAACGCCACCCCGAUGGUCGGUGGCUCGUCAUCCGGCGACACGAGGAAAUGCGCGCGGAAGACGCCGGCCGAUGGGCUCUCGGACGCCCGUAACCUGUUCGAGGAAAUGUCGUCCGCCGUCGACGAGGACUACAUGCAAAACCUCAACUUCGAGGGUGGUGCGCCGGGCGCUGGCUACUAUCCCGACGAGACACAAAGCCAGGACGGCCGCGGGGCGUUCACGCCGGCCGCUGGCUAUGAUCCCGAUCAGGCGGCCUUCAUGCAUGAUCAGGUCGGCAUCGACCUGGACGGCUUCCCCCUCGACCACGAGUUCCCGAACGACUACGGGCUAGAGGAAGAGGACGAGUGCGACAUCGAAGUGGAGCCUUUGUUCGAGGACGAGGUCGCCAACUAA
rnacentral:rRNA from 1 species